rnacentral:rRNA from 1 species
AUUGAACGCUGGCGGCAGGCCUAACACAUGCAAGUCGAACGAGUGGCGGACGGGUGAGUAAUGUCUGGGAAACUGCCUGAUGGAGGGGGAUAACUACUGGAAACGGUAGCUAAUACCGCAUACCAUCGGCUUUGCCCAGAUGGGAUUAGCUAGUAGGUGGGGUAAAGGCUCACCUAGGCGACGAUCCCUAGCUGGUCUGAGAGGAUGACCAGCCACCCUGGAACUGAGACACGGGCCAGACUCCUCCGGGAGGCGGCAGUGGGGAAGAUUGCACAAUGGGCGAAAGCCUGAUGCAGCCAUGCCGCGUGUAUGAAGAAGGCCUUCGGGUUGUAAAGUACUUUCAGCGAGGAGGCGUUACUCGCAGCAGAAGCCCCGGCUAAACCCGUGCCAGCCGCCGCGGUAAUAC